GUGGGGAAUAUUGGGCAAUGGGCGAAAGCCUGACCCAGCAACGCCGCGUGAAGGAAGAAGGUUUUCGGAUCGUAAACUUCUAUCCUUGGUGAAGAUAAUGACGGUAGCCAAGAAGGAAGCCCCGGCUAACUACGUGCCAGCAGCCGCGGUAAUACGUAGGGGGCAAGCGUUGUCCGGAAUGAUUGGGCGUAAAGGGCGCGUAGGCGGCCCGGUAAGUCUGGAGUGAAAGUCCUGCUUUUAAGGUGGGAAUUGCUUUGGAUACUGUCGGGCUUGAGUGCAGGAGAGGUAAGUGGAAUUCCCGGUGUAGCGGUGAAAUGCGUAGAGAUCGGGAGGAACACCAGUGGCGAAGGCGACUUACUGGACUGUAACUGACGCUGAGGCGCGAAAGUGUGGGGAGCAAACAGGAUUAGAAACCCCGGUAGUCC
rnacentral:rRNA from 1 species